UACGGAAGGGGCGAGCGUUGUUCGGAAUUACUGGGCGUAAAGCGCGCGCAGGCGGUUCUUUAAGUCAGAGGUGAAAGCCCAGAGCUCAACUCUGGAAUGGCCUUUGAGACUAGAGAACUAGGGUACGGGAGAGGUGAGUGGAAUUCCGAGUGUAGAGGUGAAAUUCGUAGAUAUUCGGAAGAACACCAGUGGCGAAGGCGGCUCACUGGCCCGUUACCGACGCUCAGGCGCGACAGCGUGGGGAGCAAACAGG
rnacentral:rRNA from 1 species